ACGGAAGGCAGCAGUGGGGAAUAUUGCACAAUGGGGGAAACCCUGAUGCAGCGACGCCGCGUGAAGGAAGAAGUAUUUCGGUAUGUAAACUUCUAUCAGCAGGGAAGAUGAUGACAGUACCUGACUAAGAAGCCCCGGCUAACUACGUGCCAGCAGCCGCGGUAAUACGUAGGGGGCAAGCGUUAUCCGGAUUUACUGGGUGUAAAGGGAGCGUAGACGGCGAGGCAAGUCUGAUGUGAAAGGCUGGGGCUCAACCCCGGGACUGCAUUGGAAACUGUUUUGCUUGAGUGUCGGAGGGGUAAGCGGAAUUCCUGGUGUAGCGGUGAAAUGCGUAGAUAUCAGGAGGAACACCGGUGGCGAAGGCGGCUUACUGGACGAUUACUGACGUUGAGGCUCGAAAGCGUGGGGAGCAAACAGGAUUAGAUACCCUGGUA
rnacentral:rRNA from 1 species